UUGUAGUGUGACAUGCCGUUUAACGUGGAACUCUGAUUUAUAAUUAUAAUUAAAUUGAUUUUGGGAAACGGGGUGUUACAUAGCA
rnacentral:pre_miRNA from 1 species